AAGAUCAUGUUAAAAUCAAUUAUAAUAUGCUCAAAUAGGUAGACACUAAAAACCCCCACUAUUUCUCAAUAUUAAAAGCAUAUUAAAUAAUGCGUAAAAACCAUGCAAAAUUACCUCUACCCAAUAAAUCGUGAAUUAAAAAAAUAAAAUAUAUCAAUUGUGACCAUGCUUACAAACACCCCCACUAUAUCUCAAUUUAAUAAACAAUGCCCAUUAGUCGAUAUUUUUCAUGAAGUAUAUAAGUACUCGAAACAUAUUCUCAAAGACAGAGACAAAAAAAUAUCAACACACUUUUCACAAAUAUAUACGGGCUUACUUUAUAUAAUUCACUAUCUUCACUUAAUAGAAGUAUAAUAAUCCACUUAAUUCAUUUUGACCGGUGCACAAACGGUAAUAAAUCAAAAUGCAUGUUAAUAAAAUGCAAUUAAGCUCAUGUUGACCAAUUCAUUAAAACUAGUGUAUUUAAGAAAUAAACUUUUCAUCUUUACAAAAAUAUUUCUCAAUCUCAAGAAAAUUGGUUAUAGUUUUAGAGGUAGAAAAUAUUUAAGAACAAUGUUUAAAUAAUAAUAUAAUACCACUUUAUCAAAUCAGUAACAAAUUCUCAUAUCUCAAGUUCUCAUUUAAAUAGAUUAGUCCUUGCAAAAUAAAACUUUAUAAUCCAAUCACUCAUGAACAAAGAAUAAUUUGUUCUUUCAUUUUGGACCAAAAAGAAUUGUAUGCAAUGUGACUAAUUAGAGGAAUUAUUAUAUAGAGGUAAUCUCUGUAGCAUGUAACGGGAUAUAAAAUUAUUGAGCCGAGUUAUUCACAUAUAAUUAUUCAAUUCUUAAACACAUAAAACAAUUUCCAUUCAAACGUUUCAAUUUUUAAUGAUCAGUCAAUAUGAAAAAAAAACAUAAGCAAAUAACUUCACGUAGGAUGUUACUGUCGAUUUAACUUCAUAACGGUCCACCACUAAAAGCAAUUCAUUUUCUCAUACAUAACCGAAUAAGGCUCGUGCAAUUUAUAUAAUUUUGAUGAUGGUCAAACAUAUGAUAUUUUAUCCGGUUAGAAUUCAUGAGUGUAUUGCAUAUGCUAUAUAAACGAAGUCGACUAUAUGCUAACACAUCAAACAUGAUGAAUUCUAAAUAAUUAUUUAUUCAAAUCACGACAUAUUUCUUUUUAUCAUAUCCUUAUCAUGCACUAUUAUUAUACUACUGAAAAAACAUUGAAUAAUGUAGACACGAAGAAUAUACCUCAAAAACGCGCACAAUUUGGCAGCUGCAGCAGUGCUCCGUAUUUGGGGCAUAUCUCUCUCGUUCGAUGUCCGAUUUCAGUGAUUCAAGAUGUUUCGGACAGCCAACAUAAAUGCCUAAAGCUUUCGUGUUCUACACAUUCUCAAAUUCGGACAUUAUCAGGUCCGAAAUUUGACUCAAAGUCUGCACUCGUGAAUUGUACGAAAACUCACCUAUACCAAAAAAUAAGAUCGUUAAUUUUUCGUCAAAUCAAAAUAACAAUAAAA
rnacentral:lncRNA from 1 species